rnacentral:lncRNA from 1 species
CUCCAGUGUGUAUGGACUGCCUCUGGCCAAGGCUUCCCGGCUGCAUGUGAGGGACGGGAACAGGAGUGCUGUGGCUGUGCCUGGACCCACACUCAUUAAUCAUCCUAAUGAAGUAGAGCCAGUCAUCUUUGUCAAAUCAUUGGUCAAUCAACUAACUGCAAAAUAUCAGAACAAGGUCUUGGAUGGAGUUGAUCAUAUUUUGAGCAUUAUGUGGACUCACAUAUCAGAAAUCGAAGCUGCUGAAUUCAUCUGCCUCAGCAGGACUCGAGGUUGGUGGACAAUGAGAACUGCAUAGUUGCUCGCCAUCCUUCAAUUCAGGAUCCACUUAAGCUUCAGGAGAAAGAGGAGAGGAUGCAAGAAGAAUGGAAGAGAAAGAGAAGGACAAGGAAGUGUGGAGAAGUAGCUUUCUUGCCUAUAUGAAUAAGCAAAAUUAAAGAUGCUACAAGAAUUGGAGCCCUGCCUAGCUCCAACCUCAAAUCCUAUCUAAAAUGGUUCCCACCUGCACCCCCAAAUCCUCCACUUUGACUGGAUUACUGAGCCCACUCACCCAUUGCCUGAUCUGGCCAAUAUUGGUUAAAAUCAAGAAUGCUUCAUCCCAAAUAUAAAUUUGUUCAUCCUUUGAAUAAAAUCAUUCUCAUUCAUUAAAUUCAGUCGGUUACGGUAGCCUUCCCAGUGUCUUCAGCUUUCCUUCCCAUGGAUGAUGGUUGCUGGUCUUUAAAAUAACAAUUAAAAGCACUCAGGUCCUGUUAUUUUGGCCCUUAGCAACAGUCAUCCCCUAGUUUCUUUAAGGGUGGGAAAGGCCAGGAAAAGGAGAAGAGAAAGUAGAAACCUGCUGGGCAUUAUUCUAAUCAGCGUUCUCCGUUUGGCAGCCAGCACAGACCAGCUCCUGUUUUGCAGAACAGUUAUCCCCAGGGCACUGGAGAGGAGAAUAGUGAGGCAGAGCAGGUGCUGGGCUUUCCCUGCUCACCAUUCAGGAAGGUUUUCAUUGCUUUGGGCCAGAAAGUCGGUAGGCUACCAGUGGAACUCUGAACUUGUUACAGGGCAUGCUCCAGUAGUAAAGUCAAUGAGCUCGCAGUGCCUCCAGACCAGGCUGAGGGUAGCAAUCUGAGAAAAGGCUCAGGGGGACAAAGUCAUCUUGGUUUGGAGAAUAGAAUGGCUGUUUAGUCAGAGAGCUGGGCUGGGAGAC